rnacentral:rRNA from 1 species
UACAGAGGGGGCAAGCGUUAUUCGGAAUUAUUGGGCGUAAAGGGCGCGUAGGCGGCCUGAUAAGUAGGGGGCGAAAUCCUGCGGCUUAACCGCAGGGCUGCCUUCUAAACUGUCAGGCUCGAGCACAGUAGAGGCAGGUGGAAUUCCCGGUGUAGCGGUGGAAUGCGUAGAGAUCGGGAAGAACAUCAGUGGCGAAGGCGGCCUGCUGGGCUGUUGCUGACGCUGAGGCGCGACAGCGUGGGGAGCAAACAGG